rnacentral:rRNA from 1 species
CAGUAGCCACGGUAAUACGUAGGGUGCGAGCGUUGUCCGGAAUUACUGGGCGUAAAGAGCUCGUAGGCGGUUUGUCACGUCGUCUGUGAAAUCCUAGGGCUUAACCCUGGACGUGCAGGCGAUACGGGCUGACUUGAGUACUACAGGGGAGACUGGAAUUUCUGGUGUAGCGGUGGAAUGCACAGAUAUCAGGAAGAACACCGAUGGCGAAGGCAGGUCUCUGGGUAGUAACUGACGCUGAGGAGCGAAAGCAUGGGUAGCGAACAGGAUUAGAUACCCGUGUAGUCCCUGUCUCUUAUAC